UAGGAUUUGAUUAGGAUUUAAUUUAGGAUUUAGGAUUUGAUUAGGAUUUGAUUUAGGAUUUAAGAUUUGAUUAAGGUUUGAUUUAAGUUUUAGGAUUUGAUUUAGGAUUUAUGAUUUGGUUAGGAUUUGGUUAGGACUUGGUUAGAAUUUGGUUAGAAUUUGAUUAGGGUUUGAUUUAAAAUUUAGAAUUUGAUUAAAAUUUGAUUUAGGAUUUAGGAUUUGAUUUAAGAUUUAAGAUUUGAUUAAGAUUUGGUUUAGGAUUUAGGAUUUGAUUAGGAUUUGAUUUAAGAUUUAGGAUUUGAUUAGGAUUUGAUUUAAGAUUUAGGAUUUAGUUAGGAUUUCUCUAGAAUUUGGUUUAAGAUUUAGGAUUGAUUAGGAUUUGAUUUAGGAUUUAAAGUUAGUCUAGGAUUUGAUUGAAGUCUAUUAGGAUUUCAAUUAGGAUUAAAUUAAAAUUUAAUUGAGAUUUAUUUAAGAUAUAUUGUGAUUAUUUUAAUAUUUUUUUAGGAUUUUUUAAAGAUUCUUUUAAGGUUUAUUGUGAAUUAUCUUUUAACUCCUUUAAGAUUUCUUAUUGUUUCUUUUAUAAUUUAUUUAAGGUUUUUUAAAAAUUAGAUUAAAUCUUAAUUAAC
rnacentral:lncRNA from 1 species